rnacentral:rRNA from 1 species
AGCGAACGCUGGCGGCAUGCUUAACACAUGCAAGUCGCACGGAUCUUUCGUGAUCAGUGGCGGACGGGAGGGUAACGCGUAGGGAUCUAUCCAUGGGUGGUGGACAACUCCGGGAAACUGGAGCUAAUACCGCAUGAUACCUGAGGGUCAAAGGCGCAAGUCGCCUGUGGAGGAACCUGCGUUCGAUUAGCUAGUUGGUGGGGUAAAGGCCUACCAAGGCGAUGAUCGAUAGCUGGUUUGAGAGGAUGAUCAGCCACACUGGGAGUGAGACACGGCCCAGAUUCAUACGGGAGGCAGCAGUGGGGAAUAUUGGACAAUGGGCGAACGACUGAUCCAGCAAUGCCGCGUGUGUGAAGAAGGUCUUCGGAUUGUAAAGCACUUUCGACGGGGACGAUGAUGACGGUACCCGUAGAAGAAGCCCCGGCUAACUUCGUG